AUUGAACGCUGGCGGCAGGCUUAACACAUGCAAGUCGAGCGGGGGAAGGUAGCUUGCUACUGGACCUAGCGGCGGACGGGUGAGUAAUGCUUAGGAAUCUGCCUAUUAGUGGGGGACAGCAUCUCGAAAGGGAUGCUAAUACCGCAUACGUCCCACGGGAGAAAGCAGGGGAUCUUCGGACCUUGCGCUAAUAGAUGAGCCGAAGUCGGAUUAGCUAGUUGGUGGGGUAAAGGCCUACCAAGGCGACGAUCUGUAGCGGGUCUGAGAGGAUGAUCCGCCACACUGGGACUGAGACACGGCCCAGACUCCUACGGGAGGCAGCAGUGGGGAAUAUUGGACAAUGGGGGGAACCCUAAUCCAGCCAUGCCGCGUGUGUGAAGAAGGCCUUAUGGUUGUAAAGCACUUUAAGCGAGGAGGAGGCUACUCUAGUUAAUACCUAGGGAUAGUGGACGUUACUCGCAGAAUAAGCACCGGCUAACUCUGUGCCAGCCGCCGCGGUAA
rnacentral:rRNA from 1 species